GGAGGGGGGGCGGGCGGUGCAGACAGGUAAGGAGAGAGGAAAAUCUCAUAGAUUAUAUGUACUGUGAAACUUAAUAAAUGUUAAUACUUGUGACUUUAUUACUUAUUUUUCUAAUCUCAUGUGUCAUUGAAUGAGCCAUUUUUCCAACUGUGGCAUUUUAUAUUUUUCCUUUAAACUCAAAUGAUUUUCAUAUAGAUGAUUUUCAGAGUACUCUUGUCAAAAGGAAAUAGAUACUAACAUAGCUCUAGUUUAAACUACACAUACAAAUUGCAAUCACUCAGACAUUAGUUGAAUAAUAUUGAGAAGUAGAUUUAAAUUGUCUAUUUCAUUUUUAUUAUGCUUGUGUAUUUAAUAAGAAAGCAAAUAUAUGAUUUUCAUCUUACUGUAAUAUUUAAAAUUUUUUUAUCACAUAUUUUAACUGAAAAUAUUUUUUCCAUCUAAUAAUAUAAAAUACAUAUUUUAAAGUGGUGUAACUUGGUGCGCCCCGUAUCCAGUCUUAUUAAAUGGAUUACAUAACUUUUUAACUCCCUUAGGUCUUAGUUGGUUAUAUAAACUGACUUUUUUUUCCCCUCUGAUAGAGCAGUUUUUGCUCAGAAAGGUAUGAUUAUUUUCGAAACAAUGCAAGCAAACAAGGAAAAUGUGUUUACAAUUAGAAAAAAAAAGUCAGUUGGCCUGAAAAUUUAUAUCAAAUAUCAUUAAUGCAUGUAGUGCACAAAUGUAUUAGUACGAUGUUAUGAAUUUACUGGCAGUUAUGUGCUAGUUUCCAAAAUUGUACAUCAGCUGGAAUGCUAAAGUGCACAGUGUGAGUAUAGUUCGUGGAGCUGAAUACCGCCGGAGAUCCUACCUUAGGAAGAAGUUGCUUCAGGAAAGGUGCAGGGACCCUCCUAACUUUGCCUAUAGGGAGAUUCUGUGGCCUCUGUAAGAGCCUCUUACAAAAUUCAAUCACCCUCACAGUAGAUUCUGCCUGUGUUAUGUCAGAUUAUUUCUUGCCAUCCUGUAAGUUUGAGCAUACUCCUUUGUAUCCAAGAAGAUAGUUACCUUGUUGCCUUUUCUGUUGCAAACGUCUGUGAUUCUUUCCGCGUUUCUCAUAUAUUCAGCUCUUGAUUAUCUGGCCACAGCAAUGAACAUAAAUGUAAAAAACGAGAAAGAAUAAAUAGUGCAAAAUCAAGUAUAUUUUACUUUGAAAUACCCUAUUUGAUUUUUAAAAACUUUUUUAAAGAUUGUUUUAAUUACUCUAAUUCCAUUGUAGUCAGAAAAUGCACCAGUUUUUAUACAGUUUUUGACAUGACUAAAACAAUGUCUCUGUAUUCUCCAAUAUGGGGUGCAGGGUUGUAUUCUAUGUAAGAUCAAACAUGUUAAUAUGUGUUUUAAACCUCUAUCAUUAUUAAUGUUUUUGUCUGCUUGCUCUGUCAAUUAUUAUUUUAAAUUAUACAUUACAACAAUAGACUUAAUUUCUGCUUGUAGUUCUAUUAUUUUUAAAUUUUAUAUAUUUUGAAGCAUUGUUACUGCCUCUCACAAGAAUAUAGAUUUCUUACAUCUUUUUAGUUAAUUGAAUUGUCUCUUUAUAUACUAUCCCCAGAUCUCUAGAAAUGGUGGCUUUUUUUGCCUAAAAAUCAAUAUGGUUGUCAAAAUAAAUAUAUCACCUCUAGUCUUAUUAAUAUUUUGCAUUAUUUUCUAUUUUUUUGAGCUUAUUUAUUUGUAUUUUUGAGAGAGAGAGCACAAGCUGGGGAGGGGCAGAGAGAGAGAGAGAGAGAGAGAGGGAGAAACAAAAUCUGAAUCUGAAGCAGGCUCCAGACUCAGCUGUCAGCACAGAGCCCAACGUAGGGUUCGAAUUCACAAACUGUGAGAUCAUGACCUGAGUCAAAGUCAGACGCUUAACUGACUGAGCCACCCUGGCGCCCCAUAUUUUGUUUUGUUUUCUGUUUUUUCCUGUAGUAAUGAUGAAGCUUUCCCUUAGUUUUAAAAUAUAUUUUUUAGUUCAGGGAUGCCUCAGUCAUUUAAGCAUCUGGCUCCUGAUUUCGGCUCAGGUCAUGAUGUCACGGUUUGUGGGUUCAAGCCCCGCAGCGGGCUCUGUGCUGACAGCAAGGAACCUGCGUGUGAUUCUGUCUCCCUCUGUCUCUGCCCCUCCCCCACUUGCUCUAACUCUCCCUCAAAAUAAAUAAAAACAAACUUAAAAAAAUAAUUUAAAAAAUACAAUAUAUUUUUUAGUUCAGAAACUCACGGUAAAUAAAAUGUAAAUAUAAAAUAUAUAAUAAUAAUAAAAAUAUAACCCACAGAUCAGUAAAUAAAACAUUGCCGUGCCCCCAAACACCCCUUCAUAGGUCUUUCCUGUCACAAUCCCUCCCCUUCCUCCAUAAGAUAACCACAAUCAUGACUUUUAUGUAAAUCACUGCUUUGCCGUGUGGGCUUACCACCUACUUAAUGCACCCUCAACAACGUGGCUUAGUUUUACCCAUUUUUGUGCCUCGUAUGAAUGGGAUCAUAUUACAGGAGUUUUUCUGUUUCUGCUUCUUUGACACGACAGAUUGUUGGUGUCAUCUACACUGUUGCAUCCAGUCCUAGUUCACUCCCUUUUGUUGCUGUAAGCAGCACUCCUCGAACAUUUUUGUUCUCGGGAUCCCUUUACGUUGUUGAAAAUUAUAGAGGACCCGAAAGAGCUUUGGUUUAUGUUGGUUGUAUCCAUACUUGCCCUAUUAGAAAUUAACACCGAGAAGUUUAAAAGUAUUUAUUAAUCCAUUUAAAAAUAAUAAACAUAAACAUUUUUUUAAAGUAACUUUAAAAACGUAGUGAGGAGAGUGGUAUUUCACAUUCUUCGCAAACCUGUGUAGUGUCUGGUCUAAUAGAAGACAGCUGGUUUCUCGUGGCUGCUUCUGCGUUCAGUCUGCUGCAGUCACAUUGUUUUGGCAACAAAUGCUAUCAUUCGUUUCCCUUGAAGUGACAGGCGUGCUUGGUUCAAAAAAAUGUCUGCCAGAUAUCAAGGUCUGAUUAACUGUAGUUUUUCUACCCACUGUUCUUUCAAGCAAAAAUGACAGUUCCUAAAAAAAGUGACCAGUUCACCUUGCAACACAAACCCUUGCACACAUGCUUUUUCUCAAGACAACCGCUGUGCUGGAGAACACAGAAGUGUUUUAUGCUCCUAGUUUCAUCUCAGUGAAUAUUAAAGAGACGUGUGCUCAUAGGUGAAUUUAAAAAAUUGUAUUUUAUAACUAUUAAUAUGCAAGUGCAACAGAUACAUUCACAGCAAAUACAUUCUUAAGUGAAGUUUUUUUCAUGUGAGUGUAUGGAACCGAAGAAUGUCAUGACUUUGGUCUUUGGUGCCAGUGCUGCUCUUGUACUAAGGCAGCGAGCAAGCAGGUCUCCCCACCAUUGCUUUGGCACCAUCAGUCUACACAGCAGCGGAGACAAAUAAUGUCUCUACGAUGCUUGUAAGAAGACGUAUCUACUUUGUGUUUUGUCCAGCUUUUUCAGUUAUUAAUGAGAAGGUUGGCUGUCAUUAAUGGAAGCCUAGUACAUCUUUUUCAGUCUCUCUCCUUACAUUUUGAUGUGUCUUUUUUAUUUUAAGUUUAUUUAUUUUUGAGAGAGAGAGAGAGAGAGAGAGGGAGGGAGGGGCAGAGAGAGAGAGACAGAGAGAGAGAGCAUCCCAUGCAGGCUGUGCCCUGUAAGCAUGGAGCCCAAUGUGGGCCUCAGACUCAGAAACCGUAAGGUCAUUGUCUGAGCCCAAGUCAAGAGUCAGAUGCUUAACUGACUGACCCACCCAGGCGCCCCUGAUAUGUCUUUUUUAAAAGCAUAUAUUUUAUGUAUUUUAUUGGUUCUUUUUUAUGUGGGGUGAUAAUUUGUGCUUUUGAAAAUUUUAGUCAGUUUACAUUACUGGGAUUAUUAACUUAUUUAGAUUUAUUUUAGCCAUUCCAUAUACUCUUCUCCUUUCUUACCUUUCUUUUGAAUUAACUAAGGUUAAUUUUUCCUCUUUAUUUUCCUCUAUAUUAGUUUAAAAGACGUUCACUAUAUUUCCUGUAUUUUCACUAUUUUUCCUCUUUAUUUUCCUAUAUUAGUUGAGAAGACAUUCACUAUAUUUCCAUAAAUAUCCAUAAGUAUACUUAUGGUAAUGAAGUCUUAGAUAUGCCAUAUCUUCACCUCUUCCCUAAAAAAUAGUCUUAAAGUGCUUUGAUAUCUCCCAUUCCCCUCCUGGCCUGGACACUUGAACUUGUACAAAGUUUGGUUUUUUGUCAUUUUUUUAAAUCCUUUAAAUUAGGCUUCUGAAAUAUAUACUGUCAGUGUUAGCUUAGAAUUACUUAUAUAUCUGCCAUUUAUUAAUCCCCUUUUUAAUCUCAUCCCCUCCUAAAUCUCACAGUCUUAAUCUCAGAAAGUUUAUCUUCAAGUGAGGGUCUCCCUGGAAAUGUUUUUAUUUUGCCCUUCUUUUUUCCUAAUUUUGUUGAGAUAUAAUUGACAUAUAACACUGUAUCAGUUUAAUGUGUAUGACAUUAUUUGAUAUAUGUAUACAUUGCAAAGUGAUUACCACAAUAAGUUUAGUUGACCUCUGUCACUUCAGAUUGUUACAAAUUGUUUUCCUUGUACUGAGAACUACUCUCUUAGCAACUUCCAUUAUACAGUACAGUGUUAUUAACUAUAGUCACCAUGUUGUACCUUAAAUCCCCAGGACUUAUUUAUCUUUAUAACUAGAAGUUUAUACCUUUUAACCAUCUACACACACACACACACACACACACACACACACACACACACACAUACGUAUAUCUGUGCCCUUAUUUGGAAAAUAACCUUACUAGAUCUAUUGUAUAGGUUGACAUUUAUUCUCAGCAAAUUAUCAUUCCAGUUUUCUGGCUUCUUUUAUUGAAAUUGAAAGGUCAGUUCCGAGUCUAAUUAUUAUUUUGUAGUUAAUCUUGUUUUCCUUUCUAGCUACUUUUAAAAUUCUGUUUGCCUUUUGUAUUCUACAAUUUGACUACAGUAUACCUUUUUGCCUUUAUUUAGCAUGAAAUGUAUUGGGCUUCUCAAAUACAGGGAUUGUAUUUUUUCAUCAGUUCUUGAAUAUUCACCACCAGUAUCUCUCUGGAUAUGGUCUCUUUCCCAUUUUCUCUAUUACUGGUUUCUGGAACUUUUAUAGAUACUAAUGUUCUCUUCUAUGUCUCUUAACUUCUCCUAAAUAAGUUGCCAUAUUUUUUUUCUUUUCAUGUUGCGUUCUGUAUAACUUAUUCACAUUAUAUUCCAGUUCACUAAUUUUCUCCUUAGGUAUGUAUAAUAUGAUACUAAGUUUCAGUGGUUCCAUCUUUAAUGUCCAGAGGUUUUAUUUGGUUCUUUUUUCUGAUCAGCCAAUUCAUUUUCAGUAGUCUGUUCUUAACUGGAAAGUCCUUUCAAAUACAGCUUUAUAUUCUUUAAACUUACUAAACUUAUUUUGUAUUCCAUACCUAAUGAUUUCAAUAUCUGAAGUCUGCAGGUUUUGUUCUAUGGUUUGUUGUUUCUGCUGGGUCUCACUCACAGUGGUUUAUGUUCUUUUGUGUUUAGUAAUUUUGUAUUUUGAGUACAGAUUUGUUGGAAUGUGUGUGUGGAGAUUCUUUAAGGACUGGGUUAGGUGGGUGUUUUUUCCAGGAGGGCGUGUGUGUGUAUUUGUAUGUGUGUGGGUGCGGCUGUGGGUUAUUCUGUGAUACACUGGAGAGAACUGCAGUCCUAUGUAACUUUAUUUUUUUAAGUUUAUUUAUUUUUGAGAGAGAGAGAGAGAGUGAGAGAGCACAGGAGGGCAGAGAGAGAGGGAGAGAGAAUCCCAAGCAGGUUGCACACUGUCAGUGUAGAGCCCUAUGCGGGGCUCGAAUUCCUAAACCGUGAGAUCAUGACCUGACCUGACAUCAAGAGUCGGCCGCUUAACUGACUGAGCCACCCAGGUGCCCCAGUCCUAUGUAACUUUAAAUUAUAAUUCUUGGAUUAUAGUUUUUCAGGCCAUAGUUGUCAUAGUGGCCCAGAUUAUUUUUUAUUUGUUUGCUUUUAUUUUUCUAUGUAUGUUUUUGAGUAUCACUAACAGUAAAGACAAUUUACUGUCUGAUUCCAUGGGCUGCUGCUUUGUUUUUGUUUUUCCAGUUUGCCUAAUCUCUAAGUAUAACCUUUCUCAGAUCCUAACUGUAUAUAGGUAUUUGCCCAUCUGCAUGUGGACAACUUUAGGGAGCCAUUAUUCUGCUUACCACAAUGGUAUGUUCCCUUCUUGAAAUCAGUCGUCUUUUUUACUAAAUUGUUUUCUCUUCCUUCUGUCUUUCCUUUCUCCCUUCUUUUAUUUAUUUAUUUCCUUCCGCCCUUCCUUCCAUCCUUCCUUUUUUUCCUUCUGUCUUAGCCAAUUCGUGUUGCUAUAACAAAAUACCUUAAACCGAGUGGCUUAUAAAGAACAAACAUUUCUCACAAUUCUGGAAGCUGGGAAGUUUAAGAUGAUGUUGCUGACAGAUUCAGUGUGGUAGCUGAUGAGGGCCUACUUCAUGGUUCAUACAUAGCACUUUCUCACUGGAUCCUCAAGUGGUGGAAGGAGGCUAAUGAACUCUCUCAGACCUCUUUUAUAAGAGCACUAAUCCCAUUCAUGAAGACUCUGUCCUAGUGACCUAAUCACCUCCCAGAGGCCCCACUUCCUCCUGAUACUGUCACCUUGGGAGUUAGUAUUUCAACAUAGGAAUUUUCUGACCUAUGCUCCUUCCUUCCUUCUGUCCUUUGUAUCAUUAAUGUCAUGGAAUGCCUUCAGUAGGAUGCUACUUUGGCUCAUCCAAAAAGACAGAGGAAAUUCUUGACCAAACUUCAAAGUUUAAGAAAGUUCUAAUAACAGUCUCUAAAUUAAGCAAAAAAAAUAUAUCAGUCUUAAAAAGUAUAGUACAUGUGGGAUAUCAUUUUGCCUUUGCCAUUCAUUUUUGAAGUUCUUCUGAACUAUGUCUUCUGUUACCUCUUUUAAUAAUUUCUACACCUAACAACAUUCUAGUAAGGAGGCCUAAAGCUCAUAUAGUAAUGAGACACUGAGAAGACUUCAAGAAGUCUUUGCAAAUUUUCCCACAUUACAUACCAAAGCAUCAUGAUACCUAUUUAAGAACCAUCACAAUGCUUAGUGAGUUAUAUUUGGGCAUUUCCCCUCUCAGUAUUUUCUUAGUCUGCAUUGCAUAUAUUCUGGUUUUGUAUUUGCUUUGCCUUUCUUGCUAUUAAAAUCUAGGCUGAUUUUCAUUGCUACUUUAAACUUGUUUUAAAUAUUGUGUUAUAUUUUCCUGAUAUUAAAGUUUUCUACUAGUUUUGGAUGUUCUGAAAAUCUACCCUCGAUUUCAUCCCCCAAAUUAAUCCCUGAGUCAUUAUCAAAAAUUAAAUCCUGUCUCCUGAACAUACACACCUAUGACUGUGCCAAGAAAAUCACUGAUGUAUUAUCUUUUACCUCCUCAGUACAAGGAAUGACAUAUUAAUAUGAGGAAUGACAAUAAUUGCUGUAAGAAUAUUGUCCCUUUCCCCAGAAACUCUAUAAUCUAAAAGCCUGUGGAUAAAACAACAUAUAUUGGCA